rnacentral:rRNA from 1 species
GACGAACGCUGGCGGCGUGCUUAACACAUGCAAGUCGAACGGAAAGGCCCUGCUUUUGUGGGGUGCUCGAGUGGCGAACGGGUGAGUAACACGUGAGUAACCUGCCCUUGACUUUGGGAUAACUUCAGGAAACUGGGGCUAAUACCGGAUAGGAGCUCCUGCUGCAUGGUGGGGGUUGGAAAGUUUCGGCGGUUGGGGAUGGACUCGCGGCUUAUCAGCUUGUUGGUGGGGUAGUGGCUUACCAAGGCUUUGACGGGUAGCCGGCCUUGGAGGGUGACCGGCCACAUUGGGACUGAGAUACGGCCCAGACUCCUACGGGAGGCAGCAGUGGGAAAUAUUGCACAAUGGGCGGAAGCCUGAUGCAGCAACGCCGCGUGCGGGAUGACGGCCUUCGGGUUGUAAACCGCUUUCGCCUGUGACGAAGCGUGAGUGACGGUAAUGGGUAAAGAAGCACCGGCUAACUACGUG